UAUCUAAUAACCAGGUGAGGUCACAGUGAGGCUGACAUAUCUAAUAACCAGGUGAGGUCACAGUGAGGCUGACAUAUCUAAUAACCAGGUGAGGUCACAGUGAGGCUGACAUAUCUAAUAACCAGGUGAGGUCACAGUGAGGCUGACAUAUCUAAUAACCAGGUGAGGUCACAGUGAGGCUGACAUAUCUAAUAACCAGGUGAGGUCACAGUGAGGCUGACAUAUCUAAUAACCAGGUGAGGUCACAGUGAGGCUGACAUAUCUAAUAACCAGGUGAGGUCACAGUGAGGCUGACAUAUCUAAUAACCAGGUGAGGUCACAGUGAGGCUGACAUAUCUAAUAACCAGGUGAGGUCACAGUGAGGCUGACAUAUCUAAUAACCAGGUGAGGUCACAGUGAGGCUGACAUAUCUAAUAACCAGGUGAGGUCACAGUGAGGCUGACAUAUCUAAUAACCAGGUGAGG